rnacentral:rRNA from 1 species
ACGGAAGGCAGCAGUGGGGAAUAUUGGGCAAUGGGCGCAAGCCUGACCCAGCAACGCCGCGUGAGGGAAGAAGGUUUUCGGAUUGUAAACCUCUGUCCUAAGGGAAGAAGGAAGUGACGGUACCUUAGGAGGAAGCCCCGGCUAACUACGUGCCAGCAGCCGCGGUAAUACGUAGGGGGCAAGCGUUGUCCGGAAUGACUGGGCGUAAAGGGCGUGUAGGCGGCCUGUUAAGUUAGAAGUGAAAAUCCAGAUUUCAAGUUUGGAACUGCUUUUAAUACUGAUGGGCUUGAGUGCAGAAGAGGUAAGUGGAAUUCCCAGUGUAGCGGUGAAAUGCGUAGAUAUUAGGAGGAACACCAGUGGCGAAGGCGGCUUACUGGACGAUAACUGACGUUGAGGCUCGAAAGCGUGGGGAGCAAACAGGAUUAGAUACCCUGGUA